UCCAAUUUUCCUGCUCGCUCCUCCCUCCUUUUUUUUUUUUGGGUUUGAAAUGAAUCUAACUUCUCCAUAUACAUUAUACGAACAAAGGAAAGGAGAAAAAAAAAACUCAUUCUCCCACAUUGUCGAAGACUCAGUUUAGGUUUUUCAGAUCUCUCUCUUUUCAAUUCAAACAAAAACCAAAGCCAGAACAUCAAAAACCGAAGCCCCUCUCUCGUGUUUUUAGAUCUCUCUCUCUCUCUCGUUCAAGCUCGUGAACCCCCCAUCCAAAAUUCAUCAAUCUCAAAAAUCCAAUUCCAAAACAAACCCAGUUCGUCCCUCACCUCUCAAAUCCUCGGCAGGGACGGCGCUGCAAUUUCGAAAAUCUAGCUGGGGCAGGGUAGUGGGCUGCUGCGACGGCAUCAUCUGGCGAGGAAAACCCAGAAAGCCCAACGAAGCUUCCAGAUCCGCCCCAUGGAUUUUGAUGGGGUUUCUUUGAAACUUCUGGAUAUUCAGAUUUGUGGGGUUUCUUUGAAACUUCUAGAGAUUCAAAAACCCUCUCUCUCAGAAUUCAGUGCAUCCAUGGUUUUUUUUUUUUUUUUUGGUGUUGAUCUGAUUUUGUUUUUGGUCUGAAAAUAUUGAUUCUCAUGUUGUGUAGAGAGGCUCUAAUGCCGAAGCUCCUGCGCUCUGACUUCUACACAGAGCCACGAAUCCAAGAACUGGCUGCCAAGGAAAGAGCAUAACCAGGGUUCUGCCGCCACGUCAAAUUUACAGUGGAAAACUAACAUCGGUGAUAUCCAGAAAGCACCAGUGUCUGUUCUGUUUCUUUGGGGGGUUCUUGCAUUCUUUUAGUUCUGUUCCUAUAGAUUCUUGCUAUUUAGGCUCCAAUAAUUCUGCCUUCCUGUAGCAGUGCAAAGCCAGCAGGCACUACCUCUUCUCCAUACACAGUACAGGAAAUGGUAGAUGGAAAAGAAGCUGCAAAGAGAUCCAACGAUGGUGUUUCUGAUUCACAGUACUGGAGAUAUGAUGUCUCACAAAAAUGACAGAAACAUGGAGACGGAGAUGGUAAUAAGCUUUGCUUUAAAUUUGUUUCCUAUGGCUCUUGUCCACGAGGGGAAAAAUGUCACUUUCAACAUGAUGCGGAUGCGAGGGAACAAUCUAUGAGGGGUGUUUGUUUUGAUUUUCUCAACAAGGAAAAAUGUGAAAGGGGUCCAGAUUGUGACUUCAAGCACAGCUUACAAGAUGAAGGUGAGGGAUAUUCUCACAGGAGACGUGGAUCUGAAAAUGCUUCAACUAACAGGAUGAGAAAUUUUUUAUUUGGUAUUCUGGACAAGAGGAAAGACAAUUGAGAGUGAGCUCUAUUAUGAUGAUUAUAAGUGGUGGAACAGCCUCAGCCUGCCCCCGUCGCCGUAUUGGGACCGCAGGCACUCGCUGCCCCGCCGCUCGCCUCCACCGUUGUAUAAGUGGUCGAGGAGGGACGAUGGAGGGUACGAUGGGAGGAGUCCUAGAGGAGGGUUUGGACCUGGCGAUAGAAGGGAUGGAUAUAGGUGGGAAUUCCAACCCGCUGGGUUCUAAUGAAUCAGACUAUGACAGUGAUGAUAAUUUUUUCAUGCAAGUUGUCGCUGCGGCGACUAUGCUAUGUGUUGGAUUUGUAUACAGAGAACCUUCUCGCCGAAGGCACACUUCUGGUUGGGGAGGCGCACUUAGAGUGCAUUAUUAUCUGGAACGUAGUCCAACAGUGAUGUAUGACAGUCCGUAUGAGUAGUGAUGCAUUCUUGCGCCUAAGUUUUAUCCUUGAGGAAAGGGGCUUAUUGCAACCAACUGUCCACCUAAAUGUUGAUGAGCAAUUAUUCAUAUUCCUAACUAUAUUAUGUCAGAAUCAAACUAACA